rnacentral:lncRNA from 1 species
AGACCUAAAAAUCUGAGCUGCACAAUCAUCAGAAAACGGAGAAGCAGUCGUAGACCAUAAUCACCUCAUCUCCUUUUCUACAUUAAAAAUCCUCUCAUGUAAACCAUGAAAGAUCGAUAAAACACCUUCUUCUACCCCAAAAAAAAAUAGCACCAUAUAGGCCCCCAAAAGCGCACAAAACGAACUGAAAAGGGACUAAUUUUCAGCCCCGAACCAAUGUGAAAUAGCUCCAAAAACCAGCUGAUAAACAUCCCUGAACCCAGCAACAAUAAGCUAAAAAAUAAACCCAAUUACCCCGCGAAAAUCAGCCAAAAAUGACCUCAAAAUAGCUCCAAAAACGAGCUGAAGGAACCCCCAAAAUCCAGCCAUAAACCAUCGACCAAACUGCCUUAUUUUAACCCCAAAAUUCAGUUUUCCUACCUUCAAAAACACCACCAUAAUAAUAGCUAAGGUUUCUUGAGUCGAGUGUAGGUAUUCGGUUCAAAGUCGAGGUUUUGGUUUGAGGUUUUUUCGCAUUUUUUAUUUUGUUGUUGGAUCUCAUAGCUGGGUGGCCAUCGUUUCUAUACAAAAGUAUGCUUGAAUUAUCCUGCUAAAUAAAGUUUGACCGAGGCGCGUCCAAAGGUUCAUUUCUCUAUUUACUAUUUCAAUAGUAUUAAGUUUGCUUUAGCUCGUAACUGUUUAACUAAAUGCUUGAAUUGUUUCUCUAUUUGAUUUCUUGUAGAUUUUCCUGUUUUGCUUUGCUUAUUUCAUCUAUGCUUAGUGUAAUUAUUUUGUGUGUCCUAUUUGUGCUUCAAGGAUCGGUAGGCAUGUUCAUUUACUAUGUCUUCUACCUUCCUCACGGAAAUUGUAAGGUUUAAUUGAAUCAUGAAAAUUAAUGAUGAUUGAGUCACAUGGAUGAAAAAUCAAGUGAACCAUCUCAGUGACUAGAUUGGUUAAUAGUGUUGAAGAUAAUUUAUUAGGACUUCUUUAAAGGUUUAAAUGCAUAUAUUUAUUUUACAUGUUCAGGUGGCUAAUAUCUUAUUGUUUGAAUUAUUGGAUCAACGUUUGUGGCAGUGAGUUUGCUCGUCAACUAUCGAUUCUCCCAAAAUAAUCCCAAGUAUUGAAUAUUUGUAAUAUAUUAAGUUGAAACCUUUUAAUAAGAUCAAAGUAUAGGUUAUGCUUUAAUGAUAAUGAUAGCCAAAUUAACCCCUUUUCCAUAAAUAAUUUCAUAAUUAUAGAUCUCUCAAUACAUGAUGUCAUACUUAGAAAGAAACAAUCCCGAGUGCCGUAGUUGCUUUAGGCGCGUAAUUUAAAUUAACUUCCUUAAACUCGGGUGUGCAUUUCAUGUGACCCAAAUCCAAUUCUCAACAAUGUUAAGUAAGAUGUGUCGCGGACUGUGGGUGCAUUUCAUGUGGCGUGGUUCAAGAUGUGUUUUACAUAACGUUGAAUCUUUCUUAAAAUAAUUAAAAGCGGUUUAAUAAGUUAAAAUGUACCAUAGGCUAAAACAUGUAUUAAAAUUAGAUAAUAGGCCAAUUAUAAUAGUUUAAGCGACCGUGCUAGAACCACGGAAUCCGGAAAUGCCUAACACCUUCUCUCGGGUUAACAGAAUUCCUUAUUCAGAAUUUCUGGUUCGCAGACUUCAAAAGGAAAGUCGAAAUUUCCUCGAUUUGGGAUUUAAAAUAAACUAGUGACUUAGGACACCAAAUAAACUAUCCCAAGUGGCGACUCUAAAAUAAAUAAUUAAUCCCAUUUUGAAUAAUCUCACUUAAAUUGGAAAAACUCUCUUAUAUCCCCUCUCGGGUGUAAAAAAAGGAGGUGUGAUAGAUGUUAUAUAAGUAAACUGGAUCUUGAGAUUCAGAUCGUAUAUCGCACCUUAGUUGUGCUUAACUUUUGUAACUUAUAGCGCUAUUUGUCCCCUCGGGGAUGGUACUAUGCACUUAGCGUGCUUGUGAUCAAUAUUCGGUAUUUUGUUGUAAUGAGCAAUUUAGCUCGAUGUGCAUCUCCUUAGGUGAGUGUUAUAUGUGGAUCGGGUGGCACGCCACCAUGGGUAUGUUAUUUGGAUCGGGUUGCGCGCCGCAAUAGUGUGAUGGUGAAUACAGUUUUGAUACUUCAUCUUAUGUGUGUUUGUUUCUCAUUUUCCGAGGAAAGUUCAUAUUAGUCGCGCGAGUUGAGUAGUUCCUUCUAGAUUUUGUUUCCCUUUGUAUCCCGUUCGAAUUGGUGGCCUGUUAGCACAUUGUGACAUCAUAUGAGACUUUUGAUCAUGUUCAGGGUAGCUUAUUGCCUGAGCAGUCCGUACUGGGUGAGAUGCGAUCAUUGGAUUUAGGAUCAGUGCAAUCUGAUUAUAUGAAGUAUAUUAAGGAACUAAGACCAUUAUUUGGUUCAGAAUGAGGUAAUGGUUCUUUCAGGAGUAUAGACCCAAUGAUUUGUUGAUUCAACAAUCGGUUAUGAAUUUCUACACAUCUCUUCCGUCGUGGUGGUAUUGUAAGAGUUAGAGAAAGACCUAUGUAGGUCAUGAGGUGCAAUGGGAGCAUCAGAUUCGUGGAAUUUCGAUUAAUUUGAUCAGAGAAUGUUAUUGUGGUCCUGUGAGUAAAGUGGUGCAAGUUGUGAAUUCAGCUAAGGUAUGCAGUCGUGUUUUGGUGUUGCGUGUAGUUAUUGAUACAAUGACCGUAUGUUGGAGCAGGCCUGGCAGAGAAUUCUAGAUGAUGGAAUUAGGCUCUAAAGCUUAUUUGCUUAAGUGAAAAAGGAUAUCUUUAGAGAUCUAGGGUGCCCAGCUGAGUUGUGGUAGCACGGGUAGGUGCUCGAGGUGUUAAACAGUGAUUUCGAACAACCCCAACACAGUUCUUAGCACGUUCGAGGACGAACGUAUGUUUAUGUGGGAGAGAAUGUCACGACCCGAUGGGUCGUUUUGAGCUUUAGCACGACGUUCAGCAGUUUGAGGCCAUGAGCAGCUUCACUUCAGGUAUUAUGACUUGUGCGCACAGUCGGAAUUGAAUUUCUGGGAAGUUCGAGUUGAUUUGGAAAGAGAAUUCUCAUUUCGGAAGCUUUAAGUUGAAAGAAUUAGCUAAGAUUGGAUUUUUGAGUAAAUGACCUCGGAAUCGGGAUUUGAAGGUUCUAGUAGGUUCGUAUGAUGAUUUCGGGCUUGGGCGUAUGUCCGGAUCGGGUUUUGGAUGACCCGGGAGCGAUUUGGCGCCUAUUGUGGAAGUUAGCAUUUUGGAAGAAAUUUCAUAAGUUUGGAUUGAAGUAAAUUUUGGUGUAAUCGAUAUCAGUUUGGGAUUCCGAGUCUAGGAGUAGCUCCGUAUGGUGAUUCUAGAGUUGGGAGCGCGAUCGGAAGUGAAUUCGGAGGUCCGUGGGUCAUUUUGGAGUCAUUUGGCUAAAGAUAGAAAUUUGAAGGUGUUUGAGGAGUUGGACCGGAAGUGGACUUUUUGAUAUCGGGGUCGGAAUCCGAUUCUGAAAGUUGGAGUAGGUCCGUAGUGUCGAAUAUGACUUGUGUACAAAAUUUGAAGUCAAUCGAACGUGAUUUGAUAUGUUUAAACAUCGAAAGUAGAAGUUUGAAAUUCUAAAGUUCAUAAAGCUUGGAUUGGAGGUCGAUUCGUGGUUUUAGCAUGGUUUUAUAUGAUUUGAGGCCUCAAGCAAGUCCGUAAUGUAUUUUGGGACUGAUUGGUAUGAUUGGUUGGGGUCCCGGGGGCCUCGAGUGGAUUCCGAGUGGUUAAUAGAACGAAAAUAGAAUUUGGAGAAGUGUUGAAGCAUCUGCUUCUGUCGUAACCGCACCUGCGGUUGGUCGACCGCAGGUGCGAGACUGCAUAAGAGGUCAUAGCCUUGUAGAUGCGGCCCAGAGCUGGCCAGGCCAAAUCGCAGAAGCGGCUCCUUCGCUGCACCGACUUCACAGAUGCGGCUUCAAGACCGUAAAAGCUGUCCCAGCCCUUUUAGCCAAUUCUGCAGAUGCGGCCUCCCUUCGCCAUUUAAUUCGAGCCCCAGCCAUUUUUGACCAUUUGGCACUCGGGUNNNNNNNNNNNNNNNNNNNNNNNNNNNNNNNNNNNNNNNNNNNNNNNNNNNNNNNNNNNNNNNNNNNNNNNNNNNNNNNNNNNNNNNNNNNNNNNNNNNNNNNNNNNNNNNNNNNNNNNNNNNNNNNNNNNNNNNNNNNNNNNNNNNNNNNNNNNNNNNNNNNNNNNNNNNNNNNNNNNNNNNNNNNNNNNNNNNNNNNNNNNNNNNNNNNNNNNNNNNNNNNNNNNNNNNNNNNNNNNNNNNNNNNNNNNNNNNNNNNNNNNNNNNNNNNNNNNNNNNNNNNNNNNNNNNNNNNNNNNNNNNNNNNNNNNNNNNNNNNNNNNNNNNNNNNNNNNNNNNNNNNNNNNNNNNNNNNNNNNNNNNNNNNNNNNNNNNNNNNNNNNNNNNNNNNNNNNNNNNNNNNNNNNNNNNNNNNNNNNUCCCCCUUAUUUCUAAGUUUAACACUCGAGUUUUGGGUAGAUUAACACCUAAAGAUUUGAAGAAAUCAAGGGUUAGAGAUAGACUUAGGGUUUUAAUAGAACUUAGAUUUUACCAUGAAAUUCGUUAUGACAUGGAUUAAAAAUCAUAUAUUAUUAAUCCUUAAGUUAUAGAGAACAACUUCCUUCGGAAAAUUUCGGAAUCCGAGCACGUGGGCCUAGGGAAUGAAUUUUAGGAACCUUGCACUUAGGGUUGAAAAAUUGGUUUAGUAAUUAGAAUAUGAACUUUUGAGCAUGUAUUGACUAGUUCUUACCCUAUUUGAAUAGUUUUGGAUCAUUUGGUGCCAAAUUGAAGGUUUGAGCGCGUUCUUGAAUUGGAAUAUAGGUUUUGGAGCGAGGUGAGUCUCUUUAUUAACCUUGUAAGAGGGAAUUGUCCCCAUAGUUGAAAUAAUUGGUUAUGUGCUCCUAUUUGUGGGGGCUACGUACGCACAAGGUGACGAGAGUCCGAGCUACUAUUAUGCUAUUGUCCGAGUAGUCUAGGACUCAAAAGCAUGCUAUACUUGGAAUAUCUGUAACCUUAUUGGCAGUUGAUUGCUUAAAUCCUAUCGAACUGGUAAAUGGAAUUCUAAAAAGAAUUAAAUUUCAUUUUUCUAAAUUGUUAAAAGAGAAUUGGUUUUCUUUGGAUAAUUGUUUCCUGAUGACUUCUUGAUUGAUUAUUUGUGCGUGUUUAAAUUCUAGAACGGGCCGAACGCCUCGGCAGAUUAAAUAGAUGCAUCUAUGGUUCACACCAUUCGACCCUCUGGCAGUGCACAGUUUAAAUAUUAUUGGAUCGGGUCGUACGUCCUCGGCAUGAUUUGUGCAUGCUUGUAUUGCUUGCUUGAAAAUUUAUUGAUAUUGAUAUUUGCUCUCCCCGACUUGAGAAAAGUGUUAGUUAAUAGAUUAUGAAUCCGGAGACUUUUAAUAUAAAAAGGAACUUUUACCUGUUCGUGACUUAUUUGAAAUUACUGUUGUUCUUAAUAAAUACAUGACUACUCGCAUUAAAAAUAUAUUACUAUUGGACUACUACUUUUUCGAGAUUAGACGGGAUACUCAUUGGGUACACGUUGUUUUCGUACUCAUACUACACUUCUGUGCAUUUUUAUUGCACAGGCACAUGCAUCUCUAGUGGCUUAGUGAGCGUAGUAGCAUGGUUGAUACGGAGACUUAGGUGAGCUGCAUUUCCCAAGAUGACCCGCGGCCAGUGAGUCUUUUUCAGAUUACUGUAUUUAUUUUCUGUCCAAUAUUGUAUUCCGAACGGUUGUUGUAUUACAUUAUUUCAUAGAAAUUGCUCAUGCACUUGUGACACCGGGUUCUGGGAUGUCUAUGGGUUUAUUCAGAAAUUUUAAAAGUUGUUAAAUGUUUCAUUAUUUAUUCAGAGAAAUUUACUAUGUACUGUUUAAAAGUAUAAAAGAAGUGAUUUCGAAAAUAUUAAAAAAUGAGAAUCUAAUUAAGUAUUUUGGUUGGCUUGCCUGACAGCGGUAUCCGGCGCCAUCAUGACCCUUAGUGGAUUUUGGGUCGUGACAUUAAAAAUUUGUUUUUUGUUUUUAUGGUACGGUAAAAUUUGUAAGGUAAAAAGGUAAGGAUUUUUGCGGUAAAAAAUAUUUUUUGUGAUUAAAAACUUAUGUUGUAAAAUCCUACUAGGUAUUCUCUCUCUCUUAUUCUAUAGACCUGUAUUGUUAUAGUAUUAUUUAAUUAUGAACUGAAAUUACCCCUUCUAUACUUUUUUUCUUUUUUUUCACUUCACUCUAUUCAUCUCUUCUUCCCAAUCUUUUAAAGAAAUAAAUCUAUUCUUAACUCUUUUUUCUUUAACCGCACCAUGGCCACGGUUAAACACAUAUACCCAUUAUUGGUUAUUUUUGGGUUUAACUUAACCGGUUUCUCCUAGAGGCUAAUCCAUCAAAAUUGUUAAGAGAUUGGAAAGAUAACCAUAUACUAAGAGUGAUGUCUGGUUAAUUACAAACUAAUUAAUUAAAGGAUAAUAAACAUAAAGCUAUAAUAACAUAAAACUGUAAAAAUAUGGGUAAUAUCUAGAAACAUAAUUUAGAUAAAGAUAAGUAACUUACAUGUUUACAGGAGAGAGAUUUCCCUUUCGGGAAACCCCGAAAGAGUUUACUAGACUUGGGAAUUAAAAACAAACACACAUAAGCCUAAGGAUUUAUUUAUUUUACAGGCUUGAAGGAGGAACUACUAAGGCAUACAUAAGGAAAUAUUUUACAAAGGUAUAAUACAAAGUGUUUGGAGAAUGGUUGGUGAUGGAGGAGGGUGUUUUGAUGAUUUUCUUCAGAGUGUUCUCUCUUGUACUUGUGUCUUUCUUUUCUUAUUUUUUUCCCCUUUUUAUAGCUAAGUUUUUUAAACAAAUUUGAAAAAUGGACUUCAAAUAUUUUCAGAAAUCUUUCUUGUCUAGCUUUGUAGGGUACUUCAUUGGGCCCCUGUAACACCUCAGAAUUUUUUUGAAGUACUUAAGCUAUUAAGAAAGUUGAUGUGCGCUAAUUAUAUUAUUUUGUGCGCAAAGACGGAUUAUUAAUAUGAUGGAUAUCAAUUGGAUAUGAUAAUAAGCGUACGAAGUAUAUUAUAAGUGAUUUGGGGACUAAGGAGAAGCCUAAGUCUAAGCCAAGUUGGAAAAUUUCAAGAUAGGCUAAAAUUUUAAAUGAGCAAGCACAAGAUCACACUUUGGACGAGCACAUCUACAUAUAUAUAAGGUGUUAUGUGAUGAACAACCUAUCAAAUUAAAGGUGUUUGAGUCUAGUUUCUAAUGCUUCAAACUGUUCAUCAUUUGGACAUUUGUACAAAACGCUAUGAUGGAUUUACUGAAGGCGAGUAAUGCUAUGUUCUGGGGCAGAGGCAAAUCGCAGUUACCCAAUGCGAUUUAUAAAUCGUAUUUGACACCUGCGACUUACCUGGACAGAUUACAAAACACGAGUUUCAGCCAUUUUUAACACAUUUGGAGCUAUGGAGCUCGGAUUGAAGCAUUUUGAGGCGAUUUUCACCAUAUGGAUUGGGGUAAGUGAUUCUAACUCAAUUUUGGUUAAAAUACAUGAAUCUAUUGUUGUUUUUAUCAUGAAAUUAGUGAAUUGAGUUGAAAAUGGUAGAAAUUCUCUAUACCUUAGAUUUAAGAUUUGGAGGUCGAUUUGUUGUUGGAAUUUAGUAAUUUUGGUAUGGUUGGACUCGUGGUUGAAUGGGCGUUCAUAUUUUGUGACUUUCGUCGGAUUCCGAGACGUGGGCCCCACGGGCGAUUUUUUAUCUAAUUUCAAAUUUUAUUGGAAAAUUUGGUAUUUUCACAUGGGAUUGAUUCCAAUAAUCUGUGUUGAUUGUAUUGAAUUAUUUUUGGCUAGAUUCGAACCAUUCAGAGUUGGAUAAUCGAGGAAAAAUGUCAAUUAUUGGGUUGAGAUAGCGUGAUUUNNNNNNNNNNNNNNNNNNNNNNNNNAUAUUGAGGCAAAGUGUUAAAUUGUGAAAUAUUAUUUUGUUGAGUUUUCACUCCCAGAUAUUUUGUUAGAAUUUUUGUGCGCAUUAUGACCGAGCCGUGGGCUUCUUAUUGUGGAAAAAUAAUGUAUUGUUGAUUCCUGUGACAAGUUGUAAUAUUUGGGCACCUGAUGUGCAAUAUGUGAUAUGUUGUAAUAUUGGAGCACUUGACGUGAAAUUUGUGAUAUGUUGUAGGAUUUGAGUACUAGAUGUGAAAUUUAUGAUAUGUUGUAAUAUUGGAGCACAUGACGUGAAAUUUGUGAUAUGCUGUAAGAUUUGAGCACUUGAUGUGCAAUUUGUGAUAUGCUUUGAUAUGUGAUUACUUGAGGUGCAAGUUGUAUUAUGUUGCGAUAAUUGGGCACUUGAGGUGCAAGUUGUAUUAUGUUGUGAUAUUUGGGCACUUGAGGUGCGAUUUGUGAAAUAUUGUAAUAUUGAUACGCAUGCGGUGAUAUAAGGUUAGGGUGUUGAAACGCAUGCGGUGAGAUAAGGAUGAAUUGAAACGUGUGGCUAGUAGGGGAACUACUAGAAGUCAUGCGGUGUGAUAAAGGUGGCUAAAACGCGGGAUGCUAUUUUUGGGAAAAUUGUUUUAUUUAAAAUUAUAUGUGAAGGCUCCCGCGGUGAUAUAAGAAAAUGAGAUAUUGUGAAUUUAUUUAUGAUUUAGGACUACGAGGCGGUACCUCGGUAGUGCCCUGUUGAUAUAUCUUUACUUAUGUUCUUGUCUUUGGUGAUUUUAUUUCAUUAAUAUGUAAAUUCUUAUCUUCUUCCGUGAUGUACUAGUUGACAUUAUUAUUAUUAUUAUGUGUUUUGUGCUCCUUGUUGCAUUGUGUUCGCUUUGACUUUUUAGUACGAGACUUUGAAGAUUUAUAUUUUUGGUUUUUAGCGAUUUUAAAUGAUUGAGUUGUUUUAAAUAAAAGAAAUUACUAUUAUGUUUUAAAUUAAUAAGUUUUACAUCCAAAUCAAUAGUUUAUAUGAUGCUUUAAUUUAAGUGCAAUGUCAUUUUCUUCAUUCAAACUAUCUGUAAAGUAAAUUGGUCGUGCAUAUUUUUUAUAUAUUGAUAUUUUUGGCAUGUGAGUUGUCCGUGCAGUUGUGAUAGAAAUAUGGGCACGAGGUGUCGUGGAAAUAUGAAAGUGGGGUGAUGCUCGUAUUACGAAAAAUAUGAAGGUGGGCUGAGACCCGUAUUUUUAUGAUUGUGAAAUGAGGUGUCACAAUGUGACUUUUAUUUGAAAGAAUUAUAUUCAAAAUAUUAUUUCAAAGAAUUAGAUUUGAAGAAUAUUUAUUUGAAGGAAGUAUAUUCGAAAUAUAUUUAUUGGUAAGUAUUAUAUUCUAAAGAUUAUUAUUUGGAAAACUUUUAAAUGAAAGAUGUGUAAUUGAAGGACUUGAUUAAAUGGUUGUACUUGUAAUCAUAGUUUGUUGAGCGAUAUUUAUGGUGCUCCUGUUGUCCUGUUGUUUAUAUCACUAGUUGAUAAUUGUUGGUAUCAUUGCUAUUUGUUUCCUAUUAUUGUGGUAUGCUAUAUUGCACAGGUUAUUAGAUGUGUCUUGACUGUACCUCGUCACUACUCCACCGAGGUUAGUCUUGAUACCUACUGGGUACCGCUGUGGUGUACUCAUACUACACUUCUGUACAUUUUUUUAUGUACAGAGCCAGGUAUUGGAGAUAUAGGCCUCGGAAAGAGUUAGAGAGUGAUCGCAAGGAUUCAAGGUAGAGCUGCUUGGUCGUCGUAGUCCCUUGGAGUCUUUCCCUUUUAUCGUACUAUCAUAUAUUAUUCGAGCAGUAUUGUAUAUUUAAUUUCCUUCAGAUCAUUUCAUGUAUUCAGUUAGAGUUCGUGACUCAGUACUACCAGUAUUGGGAGGUUGUAUCUUUAUUUUUGUUGUUGGUUUCGAUUAUCUAUUUAAAAAACAAAAAUGGCUUGAAUUGUUAUUAUAAUCGGCUUACUUAGUCUUAGAUACUAAGUGCCAUCACGACUCAUAUGGUGGGAUUUUGGGUUGUGACAGCCCCAUCUUCACAUGGCUUGGGCAGAGAUUCCCUUAGUGUUUGUAACUUUUUC